AGUGAACGCUGGCGGUAGGCCUAACACAUGCAAGUCGAACGGCAGCACAGUAAGAGCUUGCUCUUACGGGUGGCGAGUGGCGGACGGGUGAGGAAUACAUCGGAAUCUACUUUUUCGUGGGGGAUAACGUAGGGAAACUUACGCUAAUACCGCAUAUGACGCACGGGGGAAAGCAGGGGAUCUUCGGACCUUGCGCGAUUGAAUGAGCCGAUGUCGGAUUAGCUAGUUGGCGGGGUAAAGGCCCACCAAGGCGACGAUCCGUAGCUGGUCUGAGAGGAUGAUCAGCCACACUGGAACUGAGACACGGUCCAGACUCCUACGGGAGGCAGCAGUGGGGAAUCUUGGACAAUGGGCGCAAGCCUGAUCCAGCCAUACCGCGUGGGUGAAGAAGGCCUUCGGGUUGUAAAGCCCUUUUGUUGGGAAAGAAAAGCAGCAGGUUAAUACCCCGCUGUUCUGACGGUACCCAAAGAAUAAGCACCGGCUAACUUCGUG
rnacentral:rRNA from 1 species